AGGUGGUUUCCAUUCCUGUUUUGGGCGACCAAUGCGUGCAGACUUUGUAUAGAAUAUCUUGUCACCUGAAAGGUAUAGGCUGAGAUGAUCGUUUUAUUUGCAGACAAGAUCAAGGACUGGACCAACGCGGUCUUCGCACACGAACCAAUGUGGGCCAGUUGCAUCGGUAAAGUAGCAUCACCGGCUUAGGAAGAGGCUGAAGGUGGUAGCUUGUUGAACUCUUAUUGUGGAAAAAAUCUGUAGAUGUUCACAUAAACCUGAAGUAUGCUCUGUUUUUCUCAUAUAAAUGAUAAACAACCACGGCACCGGCACGGGCAACCAUGUGCUUCUUCUCCAUGGAAAUGGACAUGGGGCUCCAAACCACAGAAUGAGAAUGCAAGACACAAGCAAGGGAACACCAUCGCUUCACUCCUCCGGGUCGCCGCUGCUCCAACCCUACUGGACGCCAUGAAAGGUUGACCGCAGUGCGCAGUGGCGGCGCUCAUGUCUGCAUCAUCAGCAUCCGUUGUGUGUGCUCCCGUCCAUGUUGCUGAGGGACGCCUGCCCCUGCUGCAAGGACUGCCACUGUGGUUAUGGAAGACGCUACAGAUAAAUCAGGCAAUGCGUGGCAAGCCGCGCUUUACAUUGGUUCAACCAGCCCUCUCAUCAAGUAUUAUGUUUGUGGGAUGAAUAAGACACUGGUCACUCCUGGACUAAGGAUGCACUUCUCCUGCCACUUAACAAAAAAUAAUCAGAAGAACCAUCUCAAUGAACCAGUCGAGGACAUGAUGGUCAGUCUCAGCGUUGGAGAUGUUACGAGACAGGUUUGGCGCAUAAGAGGAACAAAAAAAAGCAAUUUGUCAGACUUUGUCAAGGCG